ACUCAAAUGAAUUGACGGGGGCCCGCACAAGCGGCGGAGCAUGUUGCUUAAUUCGACGCAACGCGAAGAACCUUACCAAGGUUUGACAUGCAGGGAAAAGCCGUAGAGAUACGGUGUCCGUAAGGGUCCUGCACAGGUGGUGCAUGGCUGUCGUCAGCUCGUGUCGUGAGAUGUUGGGUUAAGUCCCGCAACGAGCGCAACCCUCGUCCUAUGUUGCCAGCGGAUAAUGCCGGGGACUCAUAGGAGACUGCCGGGGUCAACUCGGAGGAAGGUGGGGAUGACGUCAAGUCCUCAUGCCCCUUAUGUCUUGGGCUGCAAACAUGCUACAAUGGCCAGUACAAAGGGUUGCGAGACCGCAAGGUGGAGCGAAUCCCAAAAAGCUGGUCUCAGUUCGGAUUGGGGUCUGCAACUCGACCCCAUGAAGUCGGAGUCGCUAGUAAUCGCGAAUCAGCAACGUCGCGGUGAAUACGUUCCCGGGCCUUGUACACACCGCCCGU
rnacentral:rRNA from 1 species